AGUGAACGCUGGCGGUAGGCCUAACACAUGCAAGUCGGACGGCAGCACAGUAAGAGCUUGCUCUUACGGGUGGCGAGUGGCGGACGGGUGAGGAAUACAUCGGAAUCUACUUUUUCGUGGGGGAUAACGUAGGGAAACUUACGCUAAUACCGCAUACGACCUACGGGUGAAAGCAGGGGAUCUUCGGACCUUGCGCGAUUGAAUGAGCCGAUGUCGGAUUAGCUAGUUGGCGGGGUAAAGGCCCACCAAGGCGACGAUCCGUAGCUGGUCUGAGAGGAUGAUCAGCCACACUGGAACUGAGACACGGUCCAGACUCCUACGGGAGGCAGCAGUGGGGAAUAUUGGACAAUGGGCGCAAGCCUGAUCCAGCCAUACCGCGUGGGUGAAGAAGGCCUUCGGGUUGUAAAGCCCUUUUGUCGGGAAAGAAAAGCAGCAGGUUAAUACCCCGCUGUUCUGACGGUACCCAAAGAAUAAGCACCGGCUAACUUCGUG
rnacentral:rRNA from 1 species